rnacentral:rRNA from 1 species
GAUGAACGCUGGCGGCGUGCCUAAUACAUGCAAGUCGAACGAAACUUCUUUAUCACCGAGUGCUUGCACUCACCGACAAAGAGUUGAGUGGCGAACGGGUGAGUAACACGUGGGCAACCUGCCCAAAAGAGGGGGAUAAUACUUGGAAACAGAUGCUAAUACCGCAUAACCAUAGUUACCGCAUGGUAACUAUGUAAAAGGUGGCUAUACUACCGCUUUUGGAUGGGCCCGCGGCGCAUUAGCUAGUUGGUAGGGUAAAGGCUUACCAAGGCAAUGAUGCGUAGCCGAAUUGAGAGGUUGAUCGGCCACAUUGGGACUGAGACACGGCCCAAACUCCUACGGGAGGCAGCAGUAGGGAAUCUUCCACAAUGGGCGAAAGCCUGAUGGAGCAACGCCGCGUGGGUGAAGAAGGUCUUCGGAUCGUAAAACCCUGUUGUUAGAGAAGAAAGUGCGUGAGAGUAACUGUUCACGUUUCGACGGUAUCUAACCAGAAAGCCACGGCUAACUACGUG